GAUGAACGCUGGCGGCGUGCCUAAUACAUGCAAGUCGAGCGAACAGACGAGGAGCUUGCUCCUCUGACGUUAGCGGCGGACGGGUGAGUAACACGUGGAUAACCUACCUAUAAGACUGGGAUAACUUCGGGAAACCGGAGCUAAUACCGGAUAACAUGUUGAACCGCAUGGUUCAACAGUGAAAGACGGUUUUGCUGUCACUUAUAGAUGGAUCCGCGUCGCAUUAGCUAGUUGGUAAGGUAACGGCUUACCAAGGCAACGAUGCGUAGCCGACCUGAGAGGGUGAUCGGCCACGCUGGAACUGAGACACGGUCCAGACUCCUACGGGAGGCAGCAGUAGGGAAUCUUCCGCAAUGGGCGAAAGCCUGACGGAGCAACGCCGCGUGAGUGAAGAAGGUCUUCGGAUCGUAAAACUCUGUUAUUAGGGAAGAACAAAUGUGUAAGUAACUAUGCACGUCUGGACGGUACCUAAGCAGAAAGCCACGGCUAACUACGU
rnacentral:rRNA from 1 species